rnacentral:rRNA from 1 species
AACAAACGCUGGCGGCGUGCCUAAUACAUGCAAGUCGAACGGGGAAAGCUUUCGGGUGAGUACUAGUGGCGCACGGGUGAGUAACGCGUGGAUAAUCUGCCUUAGAGUGGGGGAUAACUAGUCGAAAGAUUAGCUAAUACCGCAUAAGACCACAAGAACUGCGGUUCAAGGGGUCAAAGGUUUUUCGCUCUAAGAUGAGUCCGCGUAAGAUUAGCUAGUUGGUAGGGUAACGGCCUACCAAGGCGACGAUCUUUAACUGGUCUGAGAGGAUGAUCAGUCACACUGGAACUGAGACACGUUCCAGACUCCUACGGGAGGCAGCAGUAGGGAAUAUUGCACAAUGGAGGAAACUCUGAUGCAGCGACGCCGCGUGAGUGAUGAAGGCCUUCGGGUCGUAAAGCUCUGUCGCAGGGGAAUAACACAAUGAAGGUACCCUGUAAGAAAGGAUCGGCUAACUUCGUGCCAGCAGCCGCCGUAAAAC